rnacentral:lncRNA from 1 species
ACAAUAAUAAGAAAUUCAUUCUCUUCUUAUAUAUUUUGCUCUUCUCUUUCUAUUUCUCUUCUCAUUGUUAGGGAUUCAAUCCCAAAUCAAAUCUUCAGAUUAUACUAAGAAUCGAUGACUUAACAUGGCAUCGGAGUCUAUCAUCGACCGUUUAUGGCUCCACAUGUCCACUGACAGUAUUUGUUUCUCAAGCUCCUUUCCUUAUUGAAGUUUUCGUUGCCGGAAAACCUAUGGAUUUUUCUUUGAUUUUGAUCGAUUUGGUCAUAACUGAUGAAUGUUAGAUGAUUACAGAGAUUGUGAGUUAUUUCUCUAAAUAAAUUGUGACUCGAUUCAAUGGAAAUUUCCGACUCUACCGGUGGUAUCAAAGGUCGCGAUGGUUUUUCUUCUGAUAAAAUAAAGGUCUUUCUUCUUUAGGUUGCAAAGAUUGACUGUAAUAUCCUUUCAUCACUAAUUUGGGUUGAAGUGUCGGUAGAUACCAAUUUUAUAUUUUCUUUUUGUACAAAAUUGACCUAACUAGGGUUUAGAAAUGCGUAGUUUUGAAGUGAGUUUGUCAACUACAGCUAAUGAUUUUGAUGAUUUUAUUAUACCUCC